GCCGGGGUGGCGGAAUUGGCAGACGCGCUACUUUGAGGUGGUAGUGGCCGAAAGGCUGUAAGGGUUCAACUCCCUUCCCCGGCACCA
rnacentral:tRNA from 1 species